GAGUUGGGAGGAAAGCGGCGGCGGUGGCGGCUUCAACAGCAGCUCUUGCCCUUAAGGAACAAUGAAACACAAAGAUGGUGCAGACCCAGGCCCUGCUUUGACUGGGAGAAAGAUGCAUUCAGUUGACUAAAACUUGAAAGAUGUUUGAAAUACAACAAAAUAGUUGGAAGAAUCUCCCAACACAGUUGGAAGACUAUCUACUGGGGAGAAGUGUUCAGUAUCAUAAAGAUAACAUCUCAUCCAGAGGAAAGUGCCACAGCAUGUUCCGAAGAGAUGAUUGGAAGAUGGAAGUGGAGGGUUAAAUAAUGAAAUGCAGCUAACAUUUCGGAAAGUUUCUAAAAGUUGUACAACAUGCCCUACAGCUACUCUUUAAAUCUCCAAAUCAAAUGAGUUUCAGGUGGAGCCUCUGGGAGGUGAUGAGGUCAUGAGAGUGGAGCCUCAUGAAUGGGAUGAGCACUCCUACAAAAAGGAUUCCAGAGAGCUCGCUUGCUCCUUCCACAGUGUGAGGACACAGAGGGAAGGCUCUGUCUAUGAAUGAGAAAGUGGGUCCCCACCAGACAUUGAAUCUGCCGCAUCUUGAUACUGGACUUCCAGUCUCCAGAACUGUGGGCAAUAAAUGUCUGUUGUUUAUUACCUGUCCAGUAUCUUUGGUAUUUUGCUAUAGCAACCCAAAUGGACUAAGAAAACACCAGAGGCCAUACCUAAUAAAAAUAUUGACAUCACAAAAAAAAAAAAAAA
rnacentral:lncRNA from 1 species